rnacentral:circRNA from 1 species
GAGAAUAUAUAAAAAACUGGAGGCCAAGAUACUUCCUUUUGAAGACAGAUGGCUCAUUCAUAGGAUAUAAAGAGAAACCUCAAGAUGUGGAUUUACCUUAUCCCCUCAACAACUUUUCAGUGGCAAAAUGCCAGUUAAUGAAAACAGAACGACCAAAGCCAAACACAUUUAUAAUCAGAUGUCUCCAGUGGACUACUGUUAUAGAGAGAACAUUUCAUGUAGAUACUCCAGAGGAAAGGGAAGAAUGGACAGAAGCUAUCCAGGCUGUAGCAGACAGACUGCAGAGGCAAGAAGAGGAGAGAAUGAAUUGUAGUCCAACUUCACAAAUUGAUAAUAUAGGAGAGGAAGAGAUGGAUGCCUCUACAACCCAUCAUAAAAGAAAGACAAUGAAUGAUUUUGACUAUUUGAAACUACUAGGUAAAGGCACUUUUGGGAAAGUUAUUUUGGUUCGAGAGAAGGCAAGUGGAAAAUACUAUGCUAUGAAGAUUCUGAAGAAAGAAGUCAUUAUUGCAAAGGAUGAAGUGGCACACACUCUAACUGAAAGCAGAGUAUUAAAGAACACUAGACAUCCCUUUUUAACAUCCUUGAAAUAUUCCUUCCAGACAAAAGACCGUUUGUGUUUUGUGAUGGAAUAUGUUAAUGGGGGCGAGCUGUUUUUCCAUUUGUCGAGAGAGCGGGUGUUCUCUGAGGACCGCACACGUUUCUAUGGUGCAGAAAUUGUCUCUGCCUUGGACUAUCUACAUUCCGGAAAGAUUGUGUACCGUGAUCUCAAGUUGGAGAAUCUAAUGCUGGACAAAGAUGGCCACAUAAAAAUUACAGAUUUUGGACUUUGCAAAGAAGGGAUCACAGAUGCAGCCACCAUGAAGACAUUCUGUGGCACUCCAGAAUAUCUGGCACCAGAGGUGUUAGAAGAUAAUGACUAUGGCCGAGCAGUAGACUGGUGGGGCCUAGGGGUUGUCAUGUAUGAAAUGAUGUGUGGGAGGUUACCUUUCUACAACCAGGACCAUGAGAAACUUUUUGAAUUAAUAUUAAUGGAAGACAUUAAAUUUCCUCGAACACUCUCUUCAGAUGCAAAAUCAUUGCUUUCAGGGCUCUUGAUAAAGGAUCCAAAUAAACGCCUUGGUGGAGGACCAGAUGAUGCAAAAGAAAUUAUGAGACACAGUUUCUUCUCUGGAGUAAACUGGCAAGAUGUAUAUGAUAAAAAG